rnacentral:rRNA from 1 species
GUAGCGACUGCGAAUUAAUGCGACCCGCAACACGUGAGUCAUCGAGUCUUUGAACGCAUAUUGCACCCGACGGGUUUACUUGUCGGGUCUGCCUGUCUGAGUAUCAAUAAGGCCCAUUACAAUAAUUACUGUUGUGGUGAUUGUUGAAAUGGAGAUCACUUUUUUAUAAAGUGGAAUUGAAUGUUCAAUAUUAUUAUUCAUUAUUAGCAAUAAUAGUGUAUAUGUCAAACGUAUUGAUCAUUUGAAAUGGAUUGGUUUAUUAUUAAAUCGUUAAUAAUUGCCAACGACAUCAAGUCAAACAUUGUAAUCAUCUUUAAUUAGGUGUUCAUUGUUUAACUUUUGAUAUCAAUGGAACUCACGAUUAUUAACCGCUAGUUGUUAGUCAAAUAAUGAUUAGUGUUGCUAUUUAAGUAAUACCAUUUGUAUAUCAUUUGUAGUGUUUUCAACGACAUUAUAAGAGAUAUCCACCGUGAAUAUUAUUGAUUUAAUGCUCGCAAUUAAACCAUCUUGAUCUCAGAUCAGGCAGGAUGACCCGCUGAACUUAAGCAUAUUAGUAAGCGGAGGAAAAGAAACUAACCAGGAUUCCCUUAGUAACGGCGAGUGAAGCGGGAAUAGCCCAAUCUGAAAAGCUAGUCUGCCCUGGAGCAGGUCUCGCAUUGUAGGUUGAUGAAGCGUUUCCUCAGUUAAACCUUUCAAUUAAAGUUCCUUGGAACAGGACAUCAAAGAGGGUGAUAAUCCCGUGAUUAAUUGAAUGACAUACCAGUUUAACAACUAUGGAGCGUUUUCUUAGAGUCGGAAUGUUUGGGAUUGCAUUCCAAAAUGGGUGGUAAACUCCAUCUAAGGCUAAAUACUGGCGAGAGACCGAUAGCGAACAAGUACCGUGAGGGAAAGUUGAAAAGCACUCUGGAGAGAGAGUCAAACAGUACGUGAAAUUGCUAGCAGGGAAACGUUGGGCACCAGUACACGGCAAUCAAUGUUAAUGAUCAGUCGGGUUUAUUAGUGAAUUAUAAUGCGGUGGUUAAACUUUGGAGAUUGUCCCAUUAGCGGCGACUCACGUAUUAUAAAUUAUUAAUUGACCGGUGCACUCUUUAACAGCCGGGUCAACAUCGGUUAAUGACGUCUAACAAGUUAGUUUUCAUACAACUGCAGGUGGCGAAAAUGUAGCAAGAGUAAGUCUUUUGGCUUACUCUUGAACUUAUAAGUCUUCUAGCGACGAUGUCAUUGACCGAGGAUUAAUCGAUUCGUGCGUUUCGGCGCAGGGCGUAUUAGUGAUGUUAAAAUUACACGUGUCAUUAAACAGCAUGCUGAUUAAUGGUCACUUUGCUAUUGCCACGUUGUAUAGCAGAGGUAGUUGCAUUGCUAAUACAAGCCACUAGCGAGUCUA